CAGUGAACAGAUUCCUAAGAGAUAUAUAUAUAUGUAUAUGUGUGUGUGUGUGUGUGUGUAUAUAUAUAUAUAUAUAUAUAUAUGUAUACAGUCUUUUACUAUA
rnacentral:miRNA from 12 species